UGGAGGUCGGGCGUGAGCCCUCACUCAGUAAUGAUCCCUCCGUAGGGUAACCUGCGGAGGGAUCAUUACUGAGUGAGGGCUCACGCCCGACCUCCAACCCUCUGUGAACCACACUUGUUGCUUCGGGGGCGACCCUGCCGGCGAACUCGUCGCCGGGCGCCCCCGGAGGUCUUCUAAACACUGCAUCUUUGCGUCGGAGUUCAAAACAAAUCGAACAAAACUUUCAACAACGGAUCUCUUGGUUCUGGCAUCGAUGAAGAACGCAGCGAAAUGCGAUAAGUAAUGUGAAUUGCAGAAUUCAGUGAAUCAUCGAAUCUUUGAACGCACAUUGCGCCCUUUGGUAUUCCGAAGGGCAUGCCUGUUCGAGCGUCAUUUCACCACUCAAGCCUGGCUUGGUAUUGGGCGUCGCGGUGUUUCGCGCGCUUAAAGUCUUCGGCUGAGCUGUCCGUCUCCUAGCGUUGUGGAUUCUUCAUUCGCUUCGGAGUGCGGGCGGCCGCGGCCGUUAAAUCUUAUUGAAAGGUGACCUCGGAUCAGGUAGGGAUACCCGCUGACUAAGCAUAUGAGCGGGGGAGGA
rnacentral:rRNA from 1 species